GAUGAAGAACGCAGCGAAAUGCGAUAAGUAAUGUGAAUUGCAGAAUUCAGUGAAUCAUCGAAUCUUUGAACGCACAUUGCGCCCCCUGGUAUUCCGGGGGGCAUGCCUGUCCGAGCGUCAUUGCUGCCCUCAAGCACAGCUUGUGUGUUGGGCCUCCGUCCUCCUCCCGGGGGACGGGCCCGAAAGGCAGCGGCGGCACCGCGUCCGGUCCUCGAGCGUAUGGGGCUUCGUCACCCGCUCUUGUAGGCCCGGCCGGCGCUUGCCGACACAUCAAUCUUUUUUCCAGGUUGACCUCGGAUCAGGUAGGGAUACCCGCUGAACUUAAGCAUAUCAAUAAGCGGAGGA
rnacentral:misc_RNA from 1 species